AUUGCUUUGAUUUUAUUUCAUAUUCUGAUUUUUUUCAUUAGGUAAAGUGAUGUAUAACCUGCAAGAAGUCAGAUCCACUUAAACCAGCACAGAAACCUGAACUGCAGCAAAUAAAGGUGUUAAGUCCUUUUGAACUGAUUAGAGUUGACCUGAUAGGAUCUUUCACAACUAGUCAAGGGUCUUUACAUCUUCACUGCAACAGACUAUUACACAAAGUGGGUUGAGGCAUUUCUUAUUCCAUCAAAGCAGGCCUCAGAUGUUGCUAAAUGCUUCCAAAAGCUUUUUCUAGACAUGGUGCUGUGAAUGUUGUCCUCAUUGACCAGGGAAAAGAAUUUGUAAACAGUAUUAUAAAUGCAUUAUUGCGGAUGAUUAAGGUGCGAGUCAUUACAUCAGAGAGCCCCAUCUUCUUGCUCCCUUCUUACACAGCAUUGUGGGAUGCUAGUGACAUAGACCACUGGCUAUUGAAAAAGGUGCAGUUUAGAAAGUACAGGUACAAAAUGCCUGUAGAUGUCAGCAACAAUCAUUUGGUACUUUAAGUAGCAAGUGUGAGAGACAGAACCAUAACGGUUUCCAUGAAUGGAAGUAAUGGAGACAUGUCCAUUGACCUGUGGAGCCUGCUGGCGGCAAGUGAUUCUGCCUUUGCAACCAUUGCAGACCAAGAUGUUUAGGCUGAUCGUGGUCUAAACUGUUCGCUGUUCAGUUAGUAAAUUUCCAGUGAACACCCCUUCGAAUAAUAAAUGGUAUUGCCCUAAUUGAAUGAUGGACCAGUCCAAUUUAGAAAUUUAGCAGGACAGCUCAUGCAAAUCAGAGAUUCACAUACUGAAAGAGAUGAAGAACUUUGGCCAUGGACUGCAGUCUGCACUGAUGGGAACAGACAGGCAGUUGGCUCCUAUGGAAUAUUUGUCCUUACGGAUUAUCUGACAUACUCUUUGACUGGAGACAGAAAUAGUGACUGUAAAGAGGCAUUCUGUAUCCAUGGCAACAAUGGUCAGAUUCAGCUGCAGAGAUCUCUCCUUAACAACACUGCUGUCUACUACUGUGUGCGGAGUGAAUGUUAAUGAUAAUGGUUACCACACCAAUAAUAUUGCAGCGGUCAAUGUUAACAUCUUUAUCACAUGUGACCUUGCUAUGCCUGUGUUUACCAGUAACGCAUGAUGGUGACGAUGGAGGAUGAAGAAAUCAAUAACAGUAACAUCAAGGUUACUGCUAUACGACACAGACGUAUUGUGAGCUGUAAUGCAGGACUUACACCUGGUGUCCAUACUGUCAAAUAUGCAGAAAUAAGCAUGAAAUGGAGACAACAAUGCCAAGAUAAAUCAGUAUUGCCAGCCACAAGCACUGACACUUGAAUACCAAAAAAAUAUUGGCUGAAUAACGAACAGUGCAGAUCAUGAUCAGACUGCACGGAAGACAGAAUCAGUUGUGUCCAUGAUGAUGAGAAUCAGGAGCCUGAUGUGUUGGUUGAUGUUGAUAUAGAAGAGGGAGAGAUUGAUGAUCAUCAGGACCCACAAAUGAUCAGUCAGAUCUUGUCCGAAGCUGACCUGGACAUUAAUGAUACAACUAGUUGCUGAGCUCACAAACAGCGGCAGAAGUACUACAGCAUACAAACAGUAUGAACACCACGGCAGGCCCGCACACACAAGACAAGGGUGGUCCUCUCUAACAGUGAUCUGAGAAUCAUCUCGAGACAGGAGGAUGAUAUCUUUGAGGAGUUGUUCCAGCGACAGUUGGAUGCAGUCCAGAGAUCUAGACAGUUGUAUGCAGUCAGAUCUUGACAGUUGUAUACAGUCAGAUCUCGACAGUUGUAUGCAGUCAGAUCUCAGCAGUUGUAUGCAGUCAGGAGAUCUAGACAGUUGUUUGCAGUCAUAUCUUGACAGUUGUAUGCAGUCCGGAGAUCUCAACAGUUUAUAUGCAGUCAGGAGAUCUCGACAGUUGUAUGCAGCCCUGGGAUCUCAGCAGUAGUAUGCAGUCCGGGGAUCUUUACAGCUGUAUGCAGUCCAGAGAUAUUGACAGUUGUAUGCAGUCAGGAGAUCUCAGUUCUUUUUAGCUCACCUGAGCACAAAGUGCUCAGGGUGAGGUAUUGUGAUCGCUCACCGUCCGGCGUCCGUCCGUCCGUCCGUCCGUUGUACGUCCGUCCGUUGUACGUCCGUCCGUUGUACGUCCGUCCACACUUUCCUUUAAACAACAUCUCCUCCUAAACCAACAGGCCAAUUUUGAUGAAACUUCACAGGGAUGUUCCUUGGAUGGCCCCCUUUCAAAAUUGUUCAAAGAAUUGAAUUCCAUGCAGAACACUGGUUGCCAUGGCAACCGAAAGGAAAAACUUUAAAAAUCUUCUUCUCAAAAACCAGAAGCCCUAGAGCUUAGAUAUUUGGUGUGAAGCAUUGCCUAGUGGACCUCUACCAAGUUUGUUCAAAUCAUGACCCCGGGGUCAAAAUUGACCCCGCCCCAGGGGUCACUUGAUUUUACAUAAGAAAAUCUUAAAAAAUCUUCU